AAGGUGCCUUCUUCCCGGGUACGUGCACGCGCGUUCCCAUGGCCACCGACGCUUGCAGACCUUGGUGCUGGGUGGAACUGCAGGAUGAUGGUGAAGGCGGCCGCUUCCUUCUGAAGAUAAAUGUGAGAGCUGCCACUGAGAGCUGUCACGUUAUCCAGGAAACUGCCAAGUCCGUAGAUCCUGGCUUCUCACACAUGAGCCUCCUCUGGCAGCAUAAGAAAGGAGUUCCUGGAGCCAAGAACCCAUUCCCAGCGUCCGAGACCCAGCCACGACCUCACACCAGAGCUCUGGGGCACGAGCGGAGGAAGCGCAGCAUAGAAAGAGCUCAGACUUGCUAAUCACCUCACACAGGGAACAGAAAAUGACCACGUUACAGGAGUCAAUCUCAUUUGAACACUUAUCUGUGGACUUCACCCAGAAGGAAUGGCAGCUGCUGGACCCCUGUCAGAAGGACUUAUACAAGGAUGUCAUGUUGGAGAACUACAGCAGCCUGGUGGCACUGGGGUAUGAAUUUAUGAAACCUGAUGUCAUUUUCAAGUUGGAACGAGGAGAAGCACCAUGGAUAGAAGAUGGAGAAGUUCCAAGUUCAGACUCUCCAGAACAAGACUUUCAAGUAAAUAGUCACAUGAUGUGGAACCAGGACAACCAAGGGAAGCCUAAAAAUACGAAACAAGAUUAUGAAUGUGAUGCAUUUGGAAAAAAUUUCAAUCAGAGCAUAAACUUUGUUCCUUUAAGGAAAUCAAACAAUGAAGGUGAUGUAGAUGGUUUAACUUUAAAACGUCAUUUAGAUUUACUUCUUCCAAAAGCUGAUUAUGGAAAAAUAGAACGAGAUGACUUAAAUGUAUUUGAUAAAUUGUUUCUCCAUACCAAGCCUGAGGAAACUGAUACUUGGUUAAAACACUAUGAGUGUGAUAAAUAUGAUAAUGUUAACUAUAAGAAGUCACAGAUUAUCAUCUAUCACAGAAACCGUUUAGGGGAGAAACUUUAUGAAUGCAGUGAAUGUAGGAAACGCUUCAGUAAGAAAUCCAGUCUCAUGAAGCACCAGAGCAGACAUAUAAGAGAGAUAGCGAUUGGCUGUGGUAAAUCUGACAAAACCUUUCCGCAGAAGUCACAGUUCAUUACACAUCACAGAACUCAUACAGGAGAGAAACCUUAUAAUUGUAGCCAGUGUGGGAAAGCCUUCUCCCAAAAGUCACAACUCACAUCCCAUCAGAGGACACAUACAGGAGAGAAACCAUAUGAAUGUGGGGAAUGUGGGAAAGCCUUCUCCCGGAAGUCACAUCUGAUAUCACAUUGGAGAACACACACAGGAGAAAAACCCUAUGUAUGCCAUGAAUGUGGGAGGGCCUUUAGUGAGAAGUCCAAUCUUAUUAAUCAUCAUAGAAUUCAUACAGGAGAGAAACCUUUUGAAUGCAGAGAAUGUAGGAAAGCUUUUAGCAGAAAGUCACAACUCGUUACACAUCACAGGAUUCAUACAGGAACGAAACCCUAUGGGUGUAGUGAUUGUAGAAAAGCCUUCUUUGAGAAAUCAGAGCUCAUUAGACAUCAGACAGUUCAUACUGGAGAGAAGCCCUAUGAAUGCAGUGAAUGUCAGAAAGCAUUCCGAGAGAGGUCGAGUCUCAUUAAUCAUCAGAGAACCCACACAGGAGAGAAACCUCAUGGGUGCAUUCAGUGUGGAAAAGCUUUCUCCCAGAAGUCACAUCUGAUAUCACAUCAGAUGACACACACGGGAGAGAAACCCUUCAUAUGCGUUAAAUGUGGGAGGGCCUUCAGCAGGAAAUCCCAGCUGGUUCGACAUCAGAGAACUCACACGGGAGAAAAGCCCUAUGAAUGCAGUGAAUGUGGGAAAGCUUUCAGUGAAAAAUUAAGCCUCACUAAUCACCAGAGAAUUCAUACAGGAGAAAAACCCUAUAUGUGCAGUGACUGUGGGAAAGCCUUUUGUCAGAAGUCACAUCUCAUAUCACAUCAAAGGACACACACAGGGGAGAAACCCUAUGAAUGCACCGAAUGUGGGAAAGCCUUUGGAGAGAAGUCAAGUCUUGCAACUCAUUGGAGAACCCACACGGGAGAAAAGCCCUAUGAAUGCAGGGACUGUGAAAAAGCCUUUGCCCAGAAAUCACAGCUUAAUACUCACCAGAGAAUUCACACAGGAGAGAAAUCCUAUGAAUGCAGUCUUUGUCAGAAAGCUUUCUUUGAGAAGUCAGAGCUAAUUAGACACCAGAGAACUCACACAGGAGAAAAACCGUAUGAAUGCAGUGAAUGUCAAAAAGCCUUCAGGGAGAAAUCAAGUCUCCUCAAUCAUCACAGAAUACAUACAGGAGAGAAACCGUUUGAAUGCAAUGAAUGUGGCAAAGCCUUCUCUCGGAAGUCACACCUGAUACCACAUCAGAGGACACACACAGGAGAGAAACCCUACGGGUGCACUGAGUGUAGGAAGGCAUUCUCUCAGAAGUCACAGCUGGUUAAUCACCAGAGAAUUCAUACCGGAGAGAAACCUUAUCAAUGCCAUGACUGUGGGAAAGCCUUCUCCCAAAAGGCACAGCUCAUUAACCAUCAUAGAACCCAUACCAUAAAGAAAUCAUAGACAUGAGGUUAAUAUAUGUCUUUGACAGAGACCUGACGUUACUGUACUUCAGGAAAUGCAGUAUGGUUGUUCCACAGACCUGGAGACAAUUCUAC